rnacentral:rRNA from 1 species
CCCUUAGAUGUUCUGGGCCGCACGCGCGCUACACUGAUGCAUUCAACGAGUGUACCUUGGCCGAGAGGCCUGGGCAAUCUUUUGAACGUGCAUCGUGAUAGGGAUAGAUUAUUGCAAUUAUUAAUCUUGAACGAGGAAUUCCUAGUAAACGCAGAUCAUCAAUCUGCAUUGAUUACGUCCCUGCCCUUUGUACACACCGCCCGUCGCACCUACCGAUUGAAUGGUCCGGUGAAAUCUCCGGACUGGCGUGAGUCGGAGCAAUCUGACAAACGCCGGAAAGUUGAUUAAACCUUACCAUUUAGAGGAAGGUGAAGUCGUAACA